rnacentral:rRNA from 1 species
GCUGGCGGCGUGUUCACACAUGCAAGAAGAACGAACCUUCGGGUUAGUGGCGGACGGGUGAGUAACUUUUGACAAUCUGCCCUCAGGAGGGGGAUAACGGUUGGAAACGACCGCUAAUACCCCAUAUGCCGAGAGGUGAAAAGAAAUUCGCCUGAGGAUGAGCUCGCGUCUGAUUAGCUAGUUGGUGUGGUAAUGGCGCACCAAGGCUUCGAUCAGUAGCUGGUCUGAGAGGAUGAUCAGCCACACUGGGACUGAGACACGGCCCAGACUCCUACGGGAGGCAGCAGUGGG